rfam:Triticum urartu cultivar G1812 contig276441, whole genome shotgun sequence.
CAUAUACUCCCUCCGUCCCAAAAUUCUUGUCUUAGAUGUAUCUAACACUAAAACGUAACUAGAUGCAUCCGCAUUUAGACAAAUAUAAGACACGAAUUUUGGGACGGAGGUAAUAUAUU